UUCUGAGAAACAGAUCGAGAGAGAAUAUGAGACGAAAUCGAAAUCGAGAUCAAGAGAAAGAGAAAGAUAAAGAGAAAAUGAGAAAUAGAUCGAGAGAGAUAAACAAUGGAUUUCUAAUUGAUAUUACAUUGAUGUUUCAGAUUCAGUUUGAUAGCCUCAAAUAAAUCUGUUCAAGCUUAAUAAGAUAUUUGUUUGAUCUACAACUUGUAAUGAUAAACAGGUGUAGAUAAUAUCCCUGAAACUGGGAAGAUAAUUGACGAACUGAAAGAAAAUAAUGCAGCUACUGAAUCUAGAGGUUCUAUGGAUAGUGUUUCGUAUCCAGGGCAUCUUGUCCUUCAUAUUGAUGGAAUCCUGGAGAGUUUUUUGGCUCUACUGCAAUGUUUCAUGAUUGACAAUAGGUCUUUGGUCUCUCGAUGCGGUUUACAAUGAUGGCAGUUGGAUUUGAUCUUGGAAACAUCGCACCAGUAGAUAGCGUAACUGGGAUUGGUUAUACUGAGUGGCUACUCUCAAAGGAGUGUUAUCUCAUAUUCUACCAAAUCGGUAUCUUAUUGUUAAUGGGAUGUAUCUAUUAAUGGGAUGUAUCUUUCCCCAUUGUUAUGUUUCGUAAUCAAGAUCGAAUGCAUCUUGGUCAUUAAUGGGAUGUAUCUAUUUGUCUUUCUUUUAAUUUACAGUGUGACUUGUAAGGUUUUUCGUACAGGUAUCCAUGUUUUAGAGUCUUUCUUUUGUAUAAUUUUCCUCACGUGCAGACAUUAUUCACAACGUUUUCUUAGAGUGCAGAUUUAAUUCACAGUUUCUUUUGGUAA